rnacentral:lncRNA from 1 species
CUUUUACGACGGAGCCUAAGAUAUUCUUUGUCUUGUCGGUGAGUGAGUUACAGUCGGAUGACCAAGUGAAAUAUAGGGGUGCAACGAGGAUUUGGAGGCUUCUGAGACUUGAACUUAGGGUACUGGUGUAAACUUCCUCGGAGAAGUGCGCAGCAGCUAAUGAUAUUUCGGGAUUGGAGUCUGGGCCCCAGUGAGAUUCGUACUAAGCGGCCUGACUGAAGGCCGCAUGCGUUCUAGUUCCUGAGUCCCCGCGUGGGACAAUGGCGCCAUUGUUCUUCGCGUCUUCAAAGCAGCUACAAGAAGAAACCAAGAUGGAGGGGAGCCCAAAGCAUCUGAGAGAAUUGAUAAAUGAAAGAAACAUGCUUAAAACAUGACCGUUUUAAAGGUGAAUGCUGACCAGUGAGAUGCCAGCCUGCGUGUGAAGAUCCUACAGCAGAAGUGCAUGGCCAGUGACACAAGAACUUGCGAGAGAUGCCAGUCCGCCUGUGAAGAUCCUGCAGCAGGAGUGCAUAGCCAGUGACACAAGACGUGCGAAUGAAAACUAGAUGUGACCAUCCAGAAAAAGCAUAGACAAAAAAAUGCAGUCUUAGUACUGGGAUGUUUGAGAUGGGGUCUAUCUACAUGUCUCUAGCUGUCCCUAUCAGGACAGCAUCUGGUGUGGCCUGCAGAGUUGAUUCCUGUACUUUUUUUUUUUUGUGGGCUGUAUGUAAAUGGAUUGUUUUGACAAUCCAUUCGACAGUGUUCUCUUCUGUGAAGGUCAUAGGUGAGCUGAUUGACAGACACAGCUGUACAGACUGAAUGCAAUCCUGACUAUAAAGCUGCAGUUCAUCAUUAUGAGCUAUUUCCUUAUUCUGGCAGUGAUUGAAAUAAAAUGGGGAGUAUUGAAAUAAAAAACAUUCAAUUGCAAA